AUGCACAGACUGAAUCCUGACUGUUGGGUUUGGUCGCCGAGACCUCCUCCGUGUCUCAUUCCUCAACAUUCAGGGAGCUUCACUUCAGCCGUGCUGAGACACCAAGAGGAGGAGGAGGAGGAGGAGGAGGAGGAGGAAGAGGCAGGAGAGCAUCCUGCUGUUUGCUGCUACACUACAGGUUGUGAUGACGUCAUCAGACAGGCUGCUGAAGCUCGGUGGUCCUCCUCCGAACCUGCCAUCCGCUGGGGAGGUCCGGGGAUGGAGACCCGGGGAUGUGUAUGUAUUCAUGGGCAGAGGGAACCAGAAGGUUUGUGUCCCAACUGGCCUGGAUCUCCAUUCGUCUACUAUGGAGUGAGGAGGAACCUGGUGGUUGGAGUGGAGGUGGUGGAGGAGGUUGCUGUUGAAGACACUCUCGAAGUAAUAACGGAGGACAUAUAUACAGAUGAUCUCCUGGAUCCUGAGCUGCUGCAACACACCCAGCUGUACCCCACAUGAGCCCCGAGUAACUUCCACGGUGUGCACUGUUAACAAAGAUAUCAUUCUAAUAUAUUUGUCAAAUGUGUUGUAUUUUGUAUAUUUUUGCCUACUAUUGUUGUGUGGGUGUGUUUUUGACAUGCUGUUUGUCUCUUUUAUUUAUAAAUUAACACCACUGUCAACUUUGAUUAAUAAGCUUUACAUAAUCAAACAAAUAAAAUAAAACAAUUAUGACUUGUUAUGACUCAUUGUGACUCAUUGUCCUUUAAAAAAAAUAUAUAUAAUGUAAUAUAAUAAUAUAAUAUAAUAAUAUAAUAAUACAGAAUAUAAUAUAAUAUAAUAAUAUAUAAUAUUAUAUA
rnacentral:lncRNA from 15 species